CUAAUCUCCUCCGCCUGACUUCUGGAAUGGGACAAGGCAGGCGCAGCGAGGCCACCUCCCCAGAGUUUAUUGGUUCCGUACUUUGGCCGUCUCGUUUCUUCCGUCCGCAAUGGAUUCGUCACACCUACUGACCUACCCCACCUCUUUCACGACCGCCGCCUGGUUCUCAUCGUUCUCGUCGACCUCGCCAGUUCUUCUUUCCUUUGCCUCAUCCCUUCCUCCCUGCGUGCAUCCCAUGGAGCUCCACUGCACCUGGGCACCGUGCGGGGGUGUAGCGGCAGGCUGUUCCCGGGUCGUGGGGAUUCUCGACGGCCGGUGUCCCCGGCCACGACGCGGUCGACCCAGCCCUGCCGGUCGUCACCGGCGCGGCUUCAUCCCGCAGGACCACGCCUUCUCCUGUGCUCCAUGGAACCCUAGAUGUGUGUCUCUUCCUCUCACUCCUUCUCCCUCUCCCUGCCAACUCCCUCUAUCCCAGAGCGCGCGGAGUUUCACCGUGUGGUGCCCAGGCGUCUUGCUCUGCCUGCACGCCACGGCUGCACCGAGGGAUGGAUCCCGUGGUGCAUUGAUUAGUUUUAGGUUCGUAGUAUCUACUUAGAUGUGUAUUGCUACAGCUGAUUUCAGAAGUAAGAUUCCUAUGUGCAGGUUCUACCUUUUGAAAACAGGAUGAUGGUGGAGAAUUUCACAGCACGAAAGUGAAAAUCUUCAAAUGGAAGAUGGGGGUGUCCUUCGGCGCUGUGGCUCCUCUCAACGUCAGCACAUGUUGGGGAAGCAUCCUAUUUGGUUUCUACAGGCAGAACUUUGGCUGGGGCUGGGUGCAUUACGUCUGCAUUUGCUUAUUGUGCACUGCAACAUUGGUGAGGUGUGUGAUGACUACAAGAAGGUAAAUUUGAGAAGGCCAAUGAAGAAAUGCUUUUUUACAGAUGCAUCUACAUGUUCCGUUGGAAGGCAAAAUAUUUUGAUGUCAGCAAAUGUAUUGUAGUCUCCAAUUGGCUAAAGGAAAUAUCAGCAGGUGAAUUGCUGCUUUCGAGCUUCCAGCAUGAUCAGUAGUAGUACUCCAGUAGUAAACUUGCAGCGGCUGACAUAACCUGCACUCCUGCAGUGCACUUGCUCCCAGAUGGGCUGCCACGAACUGACCUACAGUUGACUAUUAGUUGCUCUUCAUGCAUGGCAACUUAAAUAAAUUUCUUCAAUAUGGAUUGGGUAUAAAAUUGUCAGUGCCUACCUAUACCAAGGUAUUUAAAUUGUCCUUCUUUCUUUGCCCCCUUGCUCCCUUUAGUUUUGGCCAAUUGGAAGAUUGUUGUUGCCUACCUGAUGUACGCUGCCUCUUCAUCAUACAAAUCCUACAACGGAUCGAAAUUUAGAAUACGGAUGGAGCCAGUUCCUGUUGCCUUGGCGUGUAUUGGUCUGUUCUUCUAAAGAUUGGUCGCUCGAUGGCAACACCAAUAUAAGUCAGGCUAUUGCCAUUACUGAACAACCUGAUGUACACACGCUUCGGCCAAUAUCUAGAUUCAUUAAAAAAAAGUACACUGUAAGGAACACACUCCCUCUAUUGUAAGUGAUGGCUCAUGGAGGUGACACAGUAUUGCUUCCGUGUCCCUCAUCCAUCGUUUCUUUCAGAAGUGCAUCAAUUGCCGAAGUGGCUGGAUGUGGAUGAAACAAAGAUGGCCUUUCGCCACCGACAUCUACCAACCAAGGAACAGAUCGACCAGGGAAAAAAAGGACACUCCUAGCCUCCGAUACAACAAGGGCCGUGACCAACAUCUGUAGCAUAUCCCGCAGCUAUGAAGUCUAUGCGUCCUACAAAUAUGAACCGGUCAUCAAAUCUGUGCUGUAUAAAUCACCCUCACCUCCUAUACUACACCGUAGACCAACAAUACCAUUACCAUAUAUCUGCAACUCUGUAUCAUGAUGUAAAUGUUUAUCAGUGAAGGUACUUUACCUAUUUAUUAAAUGAUCAAAUAUGUCACAUGUGCAUCAUA